CCUACGGGAGGCAGCAGUGGGGAAUCUUGGACAAUGGGCGCAAGCCUGAUCCAGCAAUGCCGCGUGGGUGAAGAAGGCCUGCGGGUUGUAAAGCCCUUUCGGUGGGGAGGAACGGUCUGGUGCUAAGAGCGCUGGGCCUUGUCGUUACCCACAGAAGAAGCACCGGCCAACUCCGUGCCAGCAGCCGCGGUAAUACGGAGGGUGCGAGCGUUAAUCGGAAUUACUGGGCGUAAAGGGCGCGUAGGCGGUGCGUGGAGUCAGCUGUGAAAGCCCUGGGCUUAACCUGGGAAUGGCAGUUGAGACUGGCGUGCUGGAGUGCGACAGAGGAUGGUGGAAUUCCCGGUGUAGCGGUGAAAUGCGUAGAGAUCGGGAGGAACACCGAUGGCGAAGGCAGCCGUCUGGGUCGACACUGACGCUGAGGCGCGACGGCGUGGGGAGCAAACAGG
rnacentral:rRNA from 1 species